rnacentral:rRNA from 1 species
GGAAUCUUAGACAAUGGGCGCAAGCCUGAUCUAGCCAUGCCGCGUGAGUGACGAAGGCCUUAGGGUCGUAAAGCUCUUUCGCCAGAGAUGAUAAUGACAGUAUCUGGUAAGAAAACCCCGGCUAACUCCGUGC